GACGAACGCUGGCGGCGUGCUUAACACAUGCAAGUCGAACGGUAAGGCUCCAGCUUGCUGGGGUACACGAGUGGCGAACGGGUGAGUAACACGUGGGUGACCUGCCCUGCACUUCGGGAUAAGCCUGGGAAACUGGGUCUAAUACCGGAUAGGACCGCACCGUGAGGGUGUGGUGGAAAGUUUUUUCGGUGUGGGAUGGGCCCGCGGCCUAUCAGCUUGUUGGUGGGGUAAUGGCCUACCAAGGCGGCGACGGGUAGCCGGCCUGAGAGGGUGGACGGCCACAUUGGGACUGAGGCACGGCCCAGACUCCUACGGGAGGCAGCAGUGGGGAAUAUUGCACAAUGGGCGGAAGCCUGAUGCAGCGACGCCGCGUGGGGGAUGACGGCCUUCGGGUUGUAAACUCCUUUCACCAUCGACGAAGGGUUUCUGACGGUAGAUGGAGAAGAAGCACCGGCUAACUACGUG
rnacentral:rRNA from 1 species